ACAGUAUAUGAUAGAUUUUCUCAGCAAAUUCUAAACUGCACAUAUGUAACUGACAACAAUUGCUUGAAAAACAAUGUAACUCAACACUAAACAUUAUUGCCAAAACUGCAACCAAACUGAAAGUCCACAGAGUUGAGGAACAGUUUGACAGCCCAGGGGGUUAUCUGCUGGGGUCUCAUAGGGAGAGAAGUGAAUGGAAUGUCAAAUCUGAACUCCAUUCCUUGACAAGCCCUGACAAAACCAUUAGCUUCUAUGACCCUAACCUCACCAUGGUAGAACCAUAAUUCAGCUAAGAGGUUUGGCAGCUUUUAAAUGGCUUUUCUUGAUACAACCGGUUGAGAACCAUUUACAAUGUUUAUUGCAUUAUUUGUUAAUCUUACUGCAGGGGAAAUAAUUAUAUAUGUCACUCAUUGGCAGCAAAUCCAUCCACACUAUUUUGGUUAGUACCAAGUCACUACAGUAAAUGUGAUCAUGUUCUGAUCCACUUACUGUAAUUGUAAUUAGUACCUGACAAUAACUUUAAAGUGGAUGAUCAGUAACAUUUUUCAACAUGGUUAUAAUGUUUUAGGGUUAAUGAGAAAGGCCAAUAUCUUUUACCAGACCCUGGGUGAGUUCAAUGCCUUACUCCUUCCAGACACACUCUAAUCAGCAUAGAGAAUUUGAUGUUUCCUACAAAGAGCACAUUUCUGGCUGCCUGCUUCAGAACAUCGAUUUAAAAGUAAGGAUGUUUCUCUGUUGGACUUGCAUUUGGCAUCUUCUGGUAUUUUAUAAAUAUUUUGUUCUGACUUUAUAAUGCUCUUGUCCAAGGCGAUUGUUUAGCUGAUGCAAACAUGUCAGUGAAGUUUAUGUUAACAUCAUUGUUAAAGACAAAUAUUACUGAUAUUCAACCAUCAAUUUAAAAUAUAUUAAGUUCAAAUGGUAACAAUAUUUUUUGUUCUCAAACCAUAUUGAUUGAUGUCACUUGAUUUCGUGGAUAAGGCUAACAACCAGAAGAACAACUGUGAGCUGUUCCUGAUGUGAGAGAUUACUUACGGCAAACAAAUAAUGAACUGGUAUUUACUUCGAUCAACACAACAAAGUACAUGUUAUCCGCUGUCUUGUGUUAAUGUCUCUACAAGCCUCAUGUCUUUCUCAAGAAUAACAAGAAUAUCUUGCCAUUUAUCAAAAACUUCAGAAAUUGUGCACUUUACUUUGAGUGUGUAGGAUGUGAUGAUUUUGUACAGAUUCAUUCAAUAUGCUUUUUUUCAACAAAGUUCAAGUGUGGGUUAAUAAACUAUUUAUCAAACUUUUAAGGUUUCAUAAAAAUGUCUGCUUUUUUAUAUACAGUAGGUGGAUGUAUAAUUUCUUAAUGAUAAAUAUGUUUUAUACAUUGUUCUGAGAUAAGAAAUAUACUGCUAUAAUGUGGACAUGGCUGGCUAAAUGUUAAAUAGAAAGAGAUACAAACCUAAUGCUUUGUGAACGCAAUACUUAGAUUGAAAUGGAGAACAUUGGGGCCAUUGGAAGCUAGUCAAUUAUUCAUUAUAGGUCAAACUAAAUGUUUACAAGACAAUUCAAGGCUGAAGUAAAAAUGACUGGAAAAGAAAAAGAACCAAAGCAAGAGCACACACACAGUGAAUAGGUGAUUACUUUUUAAACAAGAAACAAAAAAGGAAGGGUCAUUAUAUAUAAGAAUUUGUAUUUAUAGGUAUAACUGAGUGGUCAAUAAUAAAAGUUGGCAUAUUUAUGACAUUUUGGCCUCCUUUAAUACUACAAGGCUAACAUUGGUGCCAUAUGAAUCUUUACCACAUGCUCUGUAAUUGGCCUUGGAAAACUCUGCCCCGGAGAGACUGUGACUGUCUCUGACUGCAAUUCUGCAUCAUGUGAACGUCCGGACACUAAUCAGACACCUACGCUUGAAGGCCUGCAGCUCGUUCACAUCCAUCUCUGUGACAACAGGCCCUGUGGCAACAAACAUCCGGAGCAUGGAGUGGAUGCGCUCCAGAGUCAUGGUCUCCAGUCAUGGGCUUACGGGAACACAUCAUCCUCUCCUCCAUACACAUGGCAGUAGACACGGUAGGUAAACAGAGUGACAGUGGAACAUGUACUUUCAUGCUAAACAGGAACAUGAAUUUUCAUAUGGUUUAUUUUUGUCCAAAUGCAAAUUUGCUCACUGUUUGAAGAAGCCAACAGUGGACCAAAAAUGUAUGCAGUAAUAUUGGCACCCUACUGACCAAUUCAAAAGUGGGGUUACACAGACAUAACUGGGACUGUUUUACUUGCUCUCUGUGUGUGUAGGUGUGUAUGUGUGUGUGUGGGUGUAGGUGUGUGUGGGUGUAGGUAUGUG